CAUAUGCAAACAUUGCACCUUGCUUUGUGGUGCUCUGCUGAAGGAAUUUGCUCAGAGGCCAAUCAGACACCAUGACUUGACUCAGAUCUCUAGGAAGUAGUAGCCUACAUGAAACCUCAGACUGGAGGCAAAGUAGUCCAGGAUCCUGAGAGGUUGUUGACACAGGAUUAAAACCCCAUACGACAAGAAUCUUAUGUCUGAUUCAGAGGAUGAGAUCUUAGAAGGACUCAACCCUAGAGACCUGGGCAGUGUGACAGCCUCGUGCUGCCCUAUCAGAACCCUCAACAUACAGAAAGAGCAGAGAAAAUUUCAGGACACCACCAAUCAUCAUGGGAAGAAGAAGGAAGAGACACUGGACACAUUCUGCAACACGAGCUACAUCUGAGCCCACAAAACAGCUGAAAGUGGACAGUUACCUAACAAGCAGGCAGCCACCUCCUAUUCCUCAAGUAUCUAUGCAGAAUUUGCUGUCAUCCUCAUAAAUGUGGUGGAUCACAGGCUGGCUUCCCUAAGGCAUGGGAAAAUGUGUGGGAAAAUGUUGUGGAAUUCUCUCAACAAAGAGGCUUGACACUUUUUUUGUGAUGGUUUUCUGGAUUUCAGCUUUUCAGAAAGGUGGAGCGAAUUAUAACCCUUUGCAAACAAUGGACUGCUUAACAAGAGUAGCUCUCCAAAAGAAGGAGCAACAGGUUAACCAAAUAGUAGAGACCUGCUGCAAUAUAGAUGCUCCAGGAACAUUACCCCCAGGAGAACACUGAGCAGGACGUUCAUAUGGAAGCCUUUCUGGAAACCUUGGAGCAUGUAUACAGACAUACCUGAAACAAGGAGUAAGAUAUUUGCUAUGAAAUACACCAGUAAGUGUGUUGUGUAUCCAAUUUUCUAUUAGUAAUUAUGCUGGGAGUUGUCUUCUUUCAGGUUUUUUUUUCCUUACUUGGAAUUUAGUGGAAAUAUCGGAAUACUCAUUUUUAUGACUCAAAUUGGCUUUUUUUUUUUUCCUCCCAUAAUGCUCUGAUACUGCUUUGACAGUGGCUGCAGUUUUCCUCUAAACUGAUGGAUAAUUUUGACCUCCAUGAAAAAUUUAGAAAAAUGUAUUUUCUCAUAUUGGCUUUCCACAUCCCAGUUCACAAAAUUCCAGGCACCAUUUUGCUUCAGCUUAUUCUAGAGUUAACUUAUAUUAGAAUAAUGUAGCUUAGACAUAAAUUUAUUUCUUUGGAAAUCUCAUUUUAAGUGCAAUUGAAAUUUGAGGACUGGGUCUUAGAAUUUAGAUACAUAAUGAUAGGUUUCUCAACAGUUCAUAAGUGCUCACAAAAAUAUGAUUUUGCUUGCAGAGCCUAAAUUUCAGUAUUAGAAUUUCAGCCACAUUAUUUAGUGAUGUUCACAAGUUUCUAGUCAUGAAUGUGAUCCAGAAAUCAAAUCUUCCCUGUUUAUCAAAGAGAGAAAAAAACGUUGUAUGGAUUUAAUAAUUUCCUAUUCAUUAUAUACAAGUCAUUUCACUAACAUUUCCUGGAUAACAUACUUUUAGGCUUCAAUAGCAGUUAUGCAGCCCUGACUGUCCGUAUCUUAUGGCUCUGUGACAGAAUACACUGCCUUGCAUGGAAAAUCUUCCAAUUCAAUCCUGGCAUUUUCCAGGUCAGAGGGAAAAAAAAGAUCCAUGUAUGAAUCCUUGAAGACUGAGAGGAGGGAACAAAGGAGGGCAAACUGA